GAUGAACGCUAGCUACAGGCUUAACACAUGCAAGUCGAGGGGCAGCACUAGGUAGCAAUACUGAGGUGGCGACCGGCGCACGGGUGCGUAACGCGUAUCCAACCAUCCCGAUACUCUUGGAUAGCCUUCCGAAAGGGAGAUUAAUACAAGAUGGUGUUUCACUUUCGCAUGUUAUUGAAACUAAAGAUUUAUCGGUAUCGGAUGGGGAUGCGUGACAUUAGAUAGUAGGCGGGGUAACGGCCCACCUAGUCUACGAUGUCUAGGGGUUCUGAGAGGAAGGUCCCCCACACUGGGACUGAGACACGGUCCAGACUCCUACGGGAGGCAGCAGUGAGGAAUAUUGGUCAAUGGUCGGAAGACUGAACCAGCCAAGUAGCGUGUAGGAUGAAGGUUCUAUGGAUUGUAAACUUCUUUUAUACGGGAAUAAAACCUCCCACGUGUGGGAGUUUGUAUGUACCGUAUGAAUAAGCAUCGGCUAACUCCGUGCCAGCAGCCGCAGUAACAC
rnacentral:rRNA from 1 species